CGAUUUGGAGUACUCGAGUCGAGUUGUUGAGCAAUACAUGCCCAAUUAGUAAUGUUUGAAAAAAAAAAAAAAAAUAGUGUAACUACCUUGUAACUUUUCCCGUUUUCCGCAUUUAAAUCAUUACUUAGCACAAGUAGUCAAGUAGAGUGGAAUACAUCUAAAGAAAACAAAUUACAGUAAAAAAAUGGGCCAGUGGAAACAACUAGAUCUUGUUCAUGUAACACAUGCUACUCGUACCAAUUGAAAUACAAGAACUGCUUUCAAGUUUAGUAGCGAGGAGGAGGUGGUUGUGGUGCUUGAAUAGGUUGAAAAGGUGGAGGUGCUAUCUGCCAAUUCCGACCCUUGUUAAAAAUAGGUGGAGAAGGACUUGUAAAUCUUGAGCUUCGCUUUCCACGCAUUUCAUCGUAAUAUAUAUCAUCAGUGAUCUCCUUUGACGAUGAUGCAGUAGCAUAUCCCUUCCCCACAUAACUACUCUGUGCUAUUGUUCCAUAGAUCAACAGAACCAGAAGCAAACAUGAACUCAAAGCCAUUAGUUCUAAAAGAAAUGAACACGAACUCUUGAAUGAACUUCCUACCUGGCUACCUAAUUCUUUAUCUACUACUGAAUAUGCCAGGACACAGGUAACAUCUGGUUCUUUCGUUCAGUAUGUAGUUGUUGAGCUUUUAAAACACAAGUCAACUAAGUAGAGCUUGACAAAAUACUAUUCGCGUUUCCCAACUUACUAACUUACAAUUGAAGUUUCCAAGUAGUGUUGGUGGACAUGGUGAAAUAGUAGUACUUACCAUUUUUUUCUCUCCUUCAGGCAAGGUAAGGAUAACCUUUAGAUUUGGAGGCAUUCUCAAGCAUUAUAAAAUGUUGGAUUUUAUUUGAUUUUCAAUUUUUGAUAUUAUAAGAAGCACCUUGAUAUUAUUUAUGAGAUGAAUACUGAAUAGUUGAAAUUGUUGUCUUUCUACAUUUCUGGUUUCUCAAACCAUUGUUUAUUUGUUUAAUUAGCACAAGGAGAGGAAAUUGGGAAAAAACCCAGAUUGAAAUAUUUAAAACUAAGAAUUCAAACAUACUAGAUCUAUUUUGUACAUAUUGUUCAUGUAAUACAUACUUACUACUCAUAUAUAGAAAUUGAAAUAUACAUACAUAAACUCCUUUCCAGUUUAGGAGCUGGGAGGGGUUGGUGCUUCGGGGGGAGGAGGAGAAAAAAGUGCUUCGGGAGGAGGAGGAAUAGAUGGAGGAAAAGGUGCUUCAGGAGGAGGGAAAGAUGGAGGAGCAGGUUCUUCCGUAGGAGGAAAAGGUGGAGUAUCUCUCUUCCAAUGCUUACCCAGGUUAGGAAUAGGUGGAGGAGGACUGUCAGUUCUUGGUCUUCGUCUCUUUAUAAGCACUUCAAGUUGUAUGCCAUUAAACGGAUGCCCAAGGAUGUGACUAUCACGAGUGAUCUCUUUUGACGAUGAUUCUAACGCAAAACUAAUCUGUGAUAUUGAUCCAUAGAUCAACAAAACUAGGAGCAUACAUGAACCUAAAUCAAUAUCAGCCAUAUUCGCUAAAUCUUAAAUUAGCAGAAAUGAACAUAUAUUAUUGAGUUCUUCUGGGGCUUCAUAUAUAUGUAUUAUGCUGUUCACUACUGGAGUUACGUUGGAGCAGCUGGAUCAUACAUUGAAGUGUCAACGUAACUUAGUCGUUGUGGAGCAUUUAACAAGCCGAUGAGUAGGCAAUGCACGACCAAAUACCAUUCUUCUUUCCAAGUUAAAAUUGAAACUUCAAAGAAGAUGAACAAGAAUAGAUGGCAAAAUGAGUUUUAUCAAGUCGUCCCAAAAGAGAAGUUUCAAAGAAGUUGGUGAACAAGCUAGAAGAAAGUAGGUCAAGAUAAGUGUCACAAGUCUCAAAUUUUGUAUUACAAGUUUUGGUUGAUAAACCAAUCUCACUAUGAAAAACAGAACUCAUAAAGCCUGCACUCCACGUACAUUUCUGAUAUCUCAAACCAUUGUUUAAUUAGCACAAGGAGAGAAAAUUUUAUUUUUGCCAAGUAUUAUAAAUAAGAACACAAACAAGGAGAGGAAAUUGGGAAAAGACGCAAAUUUUGGUAACUCGAAGGGCUACACCCUUAGUGUAAUAAUUUUGUAUUUAAACAUCUUAACCCACUUCCCACAACUCAUGUGGGACUAAGUGUAAAACACUUUACACUUGUUCAUUCAAUACAAGAGCAAACAGUCUGACAGACCUUGUUAGACUUGUUUCUCCAACAUGUACAUGGGAUUAACUGGUUUAUACUUUAUACAUACAUUGAAGUUGAUCUCUGUCACACGCCUGACUUAAUUAUUACUUAGUGGUUGUGGAGCUUUUAAAACAAGUAGGGCAUGACAAAAUACCAUUAAUCUUCUUUCCGAGUUAAAAUUGAAGUUUCAAAUUAAGAAGAUGAACAAACUAAGAGUAAUAGAUGUCAAAAUGAAUUUACCAAGUCGUCCCAAAUUUGUUUCAAAAUACAAGUUUUAAAAAAGGUUGAUGAACAAGGAAAAUAUAUAUAACUUUCAAAGGGGUGCCUUCUUCAACGAGAAUUCCUAGUUAGCGCGAGUCAUCAGCUUGCGUCCCCUAUCCUUUGUACACACCGCCCGUUGCUCCUACCAAUUGAAUCGUAACUACUGAAUGCUCAGAUUGGUUGUUUGGGGGGGGGGGGGGGGGGGGGGAAGGGAAUAUAAGGGGUGUCUUAAAAUAGUUUUUAUUCAAACAAAAUGCCCAACAUUUUAAUCAAACAGGCCUAAGCACAAUACCUGUAAUAACUGCACUGUCACCAGUAUAAACUUUUAAAUUUUGCCGGCAAUUUCAUGCUUUUGUGAAACCACAGUCCAUAGCCUCUCUCUCUCUCUCUCUCUCUCUCUCUCUUUGUGAAAACAUAAGCCAAUUGCGAAUUCAAAUAAAAGAAGCAGAACUGGCUAACAAAUUCACUAGAAAGCUUUCAGCUUUCAAAUCCAAACCAUUUUCUUUCUCUACUCUCUCUCAUUCCCUUGUUCACAAACACAUAGGACAACAUUCACCAAUCUCAUUAUGCCAAACAGAACCCAUAAAGCCUGCACUCCAAAUCCUAUUCGACCACCCGAACCCAGAAAUUUCUCUUUUUCUUCAAAAGGGGUUCUCGGAAAUUACCAGUUUCAUUACUGGAAAAGCUUUACAUGCAUUUUGUGUAAAGAAUUCUGUUCAUUUUGGUUUGUUUCAAGUGAAUACAUUGAUUAAUAUGUAUUCAAGAUUUGGUUGUAUAGAGUUGUCUAGGUACUUGUUUGAUGAAAUGCCUCAGAGAAGUGAUUCGACAUGGAGUACUAUGAUUUCGGGUUAUGUUCGAGCGGAAAUGUAUUUGAAAGCAGUUGAAUUGUUUCAUGAUUUGUGGGUUCAAGGCAUUGAGCCUAAUGGGUUUAUGGUUGCGAGUUUGUUGACUGCUUGCAACAGGUCAGGGAAAUUUGUAUCACAACGAACUCAAGUUCAUGGACUUGUUGUGAAAUUUGGAUUGUUAUCUGAUGUUUUUGUUAGUAGUGCACUUUUGCAUUUUUAUGCUACAUAUGGUUUUAUGUCAGAUGCGCGAAAAUGUUUUGAGGAAAUGCCGGAGAGGAAUGUUGUUUCUUGGACUUCCUUGAUGGUGGGCUACUCAACUAAUGGUGACCCUGAGGAAGUAUUAGAGAUAUAUCAGAGAAUGAGGCUUGAAGGUGUCGGGUGUAAUCAAAAUUCUUUUACGGUAGUUAUUAGUUCAUGUGGUUUGCUAGAAGAUGAAUUUUUGGGUCGUCAGGUUCUCUCUCAUGUUGUUGUUACAGGAUUUGAUUCUAAUGUGUCUGUUGCAAAUGCUCUUAUAUCUAUGUUCGGUUCUUUUGGGAUUGUGGAAGAUGCGUACUUUAUUUUCAAGGUGAUGGACGAACGUGAUACAAUAUCUUGGAACUCGAUCAUAUCUGCAUAUUCACAUAAUCUGUAUUGCGAGGAUUCUUUAAAAUGUUUUCGGUGGAUGCGCCAUGGUAAUGUAAAACCUGACUCUACAACCCUAUCUAGUUUGAUUUCAGCUUGUAGUAAUGUGGACAAUUUAAAAUGGGGAAUGGGAAUUCAUGAUAUAGUCAUUAAACUUGGAUUGGACUCAGUUAUAUGUAUCUGCAAUACUCUUCUUACCAUGUACUCCGAGUCAGGAAGACUGGAAGAUGCGAUCAGGUUGUUCAAAGAUAUUCCUGAAAAGGAUUUGAUUUCAUGGAACUCUAUGAUGGCUUCUUAUGGUAAAAAUGGUGAGUAUCAAAAGGCUCUAGGACUCUUGGCUGAUCUCCAUGGAACAAAUGAAAUAAGGAAUUAUGUGACGUUUGCUAGUGCAUUGGCUGCAUGUUCAUGCCCUGAAGCUUUGAUUGAAGGCAAGACUAUACAUGGUCUUAUCUUUCGGGGAGGGCUAAUUGAACAUUUGCUCUUAGGAAAUGCAUUGAUCACCAUGUAUGCAAAGUGUGGUGUAAUGAGGUAUGCUGAACAAGUAUUCCAAACAAUGCCCCAGCAUUGUGUGGUUUCUUGGAAUGCGCUUAUAGGAGGGCAUAUGGAAAAUGAAGAACCACAAAAAUCACUACAGGAUUUUAAGUGGAUGAGAGAAGAUGGAAUGUGUGCAAACUACAUUACCAUUGUAAAUGUUCUUGGUUCUUUCUCAACUUCCGAGGAUCUACGAAAUCAUGGAAUGCCCAUUCAUGCAUAUAUAGAAAUGACAGGUUUUGAAUCGGACAGUUAUGUUCGUAAUUCUCUUCUCACUAUGUAUGCCAAAUGUGGUGAUCUUGAUUCGAGUAAUUUCAUCUUUGAGCAAUUGGAUACUAAAAAUAUUGUCUCAUGGAAUGCAAUGGUUGCUGCAAAUGCCCACCAUGGCUGUGGUGAAGCUGCAUUAAAGUUUUUUGCAGAGAUGCACCGAGCUGGAUUAGAGUUUGAUCACUUUAGCUUUUCUGGAGGCCUUGCGGCUUGUGCAAACUUAGGGUUAUUGGAGGAAGGCCAACAAUUACACAAUAUUAUCAUUAAGAAAGGGUUUGAGUCAGAUCUUCAUGUUACAAAUGCAGCAAUGGAUAUGUAUGGAAAAUGUGGCGAAAUGGAUGAGGUAUUGCGCAUUCUCCCUGCUCCAAGCAACCGGCCACGAUUAUCAUGGAAUAUAUUAAUUUCAGGAUAUUCUAGACAUGGUUACUACAAUAAGGCCAGAGACACCUUUCAUCAUAUGCUACAGGUAGGACAACAACCAAACCAUGUUACCUUUGUUGCUCUUCUCUCUGCAUGUAAUCACGGGGGUCUCGUGGAAGAGGGUCUUGCGCACUUUUAUUCUAUGGUUGAAGAAUUUGGAGUCCCACCAGCAAUAGAGCAUUGUGUAUGUAUAAUUGAUCUCCUUGGGCGGUCAGGAAGGCUCAUAGAAGCUGAAAAUUUUGUUAAGGAAAUGCCAGUUCCACCAAAUGACCUUGUCUGGCGUAGCUUGCUUUCCGCGUCUAGAACUCACAAUAAUUUGGAACUUAGUAGGAAAGCUGCGAAUCAUCUUCUUGAGCUGGACCCUUCUGACGACUCAGCUUAUGUUCUUUUAUCUAAUGUGUGUGCUAUUAAUGGGCGGUGGGAGGAUGUUGGCGACAUCAGAACGAAAAUGAAGUCGAAUAAAAUAAAGAAGAAGCCUGGUUGCAGUUGGGUAAAAGUGAACAACAAGGUCAACACAUUUGGAAUGGGGGACCAAUCUCACCCACAGGCUGUGCAGAUAUAUGGAAAAUUGACAGAUCUCAGGAAGAUGAUCAAAGAUAUAGGUUAUGUCCCUGAUACGAGCUUUGCACUGCAUGAUACAGACGAAGAACAGAAGGAGGACAAUCUUUGGAAUCAUAGUGAGAAGCUUGCCCUGGCAUUUGGCUUGCUAGAUGCUCCAGAGGGUUCAACCCUCAGAAUCUUUAAGAAUCUCCGUGUUUGUGGUGAUUGCCAUUCUGUUUAUAAGUUCGUCAGUAGAGCAGUCCAGCGGAGAAUUGUGCUGAGAGAUCCUUACCGCUUUCAUCAUUUCAGCAAUGGAAAGUGCUCAUGUUGUGAUUAUUGGUGAUGACUUGGGAUAUCAUACUCAAGCUGAGAUUAUUGAUGUUUCUCUCAUAUAUAUAUCUGCACUUCUUUCAUAUUGAGGGAUUGAAUACCUUGAGAAACAUCUUCGAAGAUGAUUCUACUCUUCCAAGAACCAUGACGAGUUUUCUCGGCAAGCAUGGCCGCCUGAGAGGCUGAGAGUAGAUACAUAAUUCCAUGCAGACAUGAUCCUGCUUAGAGGGAACUUAGCAAGAUGUAAAUGGUUCGUUAGCUUGUUGAACAAGUUCUACAUUGCUUUGCUAUAAAGAAGAUAUGGGAAAGGAAGUUUCUGCUUUCCUUUGUUGGAGUAUGCACGAGGGAGAAUGAUAACUAAGGUAAAAGAUUAUGCAACUCUGCUUAAUAUUUGUUUAUAAGAUAAAUUAUCUACAUCUUGAGUCGGAAAAACGGUACACCUUUUUCAUACACGUUUGUAAAUUUCAGCAAUUAAAGCUUGUAUUUGACUGCAACUCUUACGAUUUGUUAAAGAAAGUUGUCUUAAACUAUUAUCACCUGAAACAUCUGACAAAAAAGAACUUCUUUAGAUGCAUUUGAACAUGUGAAUCUUCUAACAACUUUAGAAACUUUGUUGUGCGGGCCUAUAUCCUGGGGUCCAAAAUUUUCCUUAGCGUUAACUUUUGGUUCUGAUCAGAAGGACAAUUAUGAUAUGCCUUGGGAGUGGGUGUAUUCUGAUAUUCAACAAAUAUGUCUGAAGGGAAAUGAUAAUUUUGAUGUUCUGGAUUUGUUAUACUAAAUAUUUUUUCACCUCUUAUCUUUUGUUGGUAUUUUAAAGUUUUUAGAUAUAAGUUGGUUAUACUAAAUAUUUUUCUGAAAGAUGGUAAAAUUUCAUAUCAUGUCUUGCUGUUUUUUUUUUUUUUUUUUUUUUGCGCAAGUGGUUCAUAUCAUUUCGUUUUUACCAAGCAACCAUUAUGUGUUGGUGACAGGUUAAUCCCUUACUUUUAACGGGCAACGGUUUAUUUCAGAGAUUUCUUCUUCGCGAGUUGAACAAGAAGAUGAAGAUCAUGUCCAACCAAAGAAACCGUGUCUUGUGGUAUUUCAGCAAUGUAGCUAUGUACAGUGGGAUCAGAAUAAUCAUAUAUCGUCUGGGAGAGAGGUGUUGAGUGAGCCAGCUCUUAACCAUGUAUCCCCACACCAUUCCGACCAAGGGUAAUACUUCCCAAAGUAAGCUAAUGUUACAUCUAGCAUCUUCUGAGUAACCUUGACCAUGCAUGUAUGGCAGUUUUGCAUUUAGACAGCUUCAAUGAUUCAUGCAUCACGGCUCAUGUGUCUUAUAUAGUUAUAUGUAAGGUCAUGGCUUAUGUGGAGUCUCCUAAUUGACGGUGCCAAAGCACGCUGACCAGGCUGUAAAGUUUUUACUCUUAUUAAUGAAAUACUAAAAAGAAAAAUGGUUGUAACGCGCUUGUCCUCUACUUUUGUGUAGUUCCUUGAGUUUAUCAAUAAAAUGUUUUUUUGUGGAUUAAAAAAUAUAUAUAUUAUUCUUGCAUCAUGAAACUAAAUUAUUUACUGUAAGGCUCUACAAAGAGGCAUAUAAAAGUGCUGAAAGCUGUUUAUAACCUCCCUCCGGUUGCUCCUGCCGCGGCAUUGGUCCUUUGUUUUUUCCAUUAUUGAAAGAAAAUGAAAAAAGGGGUUGGAGUCACAGAAUCGUAAUCCCCGUUCAGUUAGUCCAUUAAGGACCAAGUGGAUAUCUGUGUAAUCGGCCAAUAUACUUCAGGCAGCACCAAAGGCUCCACACACGUCUCAGCCCUUCAUCUCAGAUAUUUCUGACAUGAAUUGAUUACCACGCUUGAAGUAGAACCCGUUUCCGAGCCCGUAAUUUCUACGGAUUGAGGCUCGGGGACUUUCCUGAAUCCUGGCCCACAAGUACUUUAGGCUUGUAAGACCUUGAUCCAACCACUUCGUCCUGUGACUCCUUGUUAUCUAUACCUUGUUUCUGUACUAUUAUUUACAUUCCUUACUCUCACUUUCGCAGUGAUGUGGGACUAAAGACCAUCACUUGGUUAACUAAAUAAUGUAGUCUGUAGAUUCUUUUCAUUGAACUUUGGCAUCAUAGUCUGACAUUUGACAAAUUCAAGAAUCAAGACCAUUUUCUACAAAGAGCAGUUGGGUUCUUCGGUUGAUCGAGUUGGGUUAGGCAGAAGAAUACUAUUAGAUACUAGAUAGAGUGGUUGUCGGAGCCAGAAAUAUUGUCAAUACUGAGCAAAUAAAUUUACUCUUAAGUCAAUCGAUUCAAAUAUUGAUCUGAAUGGGAUCUAAAUUCAUAUAGAUAGUCAUUAGUCAACAUGAUUAAUGUGUAUUACUACCUGCUAUAGCAAGAUUAAGAAUGCUAUUAGCGAUGUUAGUGGGGGUACAGUACUACCUGCUUCAACUCGAUUUACAGUACUAUAGCUUCAUUGUUAAAACAUUCGCAAUUAAUCAUGUCCAAUAUGCAAGCAAUGAAUGGCAUGAUACCUUGGUCAAGAAUAUAAUCAUAUCCUAGGAAGAGGCUAUCACAGACGACAAACCAUGCACGAUCCCACACAAGAUUGCAUGGAUAUAUCUGCAGUAAUGAGAUGUGAAUAGUAUGCCACUUUGAAGUGUAGUUUUGGAACUUUGAAUGAUAGAAAGUAGAAACUUCAAACUUGUCCCAAGUACAUUAGUAAGUCCGCACAAAUAAAAUUGAUACAGACCAAUUCCCAAUUCCAACUAGGCAGCAAGCAUGCAUAGAAUUAGGACUUACUACAUGACUAUGAAAAAUAUUUCUUAAACUGAAAUGAUUCUUUAAUCAUAAAUGCACACAUGAAAACCAAGUACAAUUAUAUUAAUAUUAUUGUUGUAUAACAAACUUUCAACUUUAAAUGAUAACACACUCAAAAUUAGACAGAACCAGGAAACAAUGGCAUGGAAUUUGGAAGAAGCAAAUUAAAGCAAUGGAGAUGAUGAUGUUAGUCUUGUUAGAGUUAAUUUGUUUCUUUAAUUACAAAAUUAAUGUCUUUGUUCAUGCAAGUCAAUCUUUUGAUAUAUACGUGAGCAUGUCACAUGUGAGUGAUCUUUGUCUUCCAACACUAAUAAUUACAAAAUCCAAAAAUAUUCAUCAAAGUCGCGCGCCUUGUUUCAAAUUGCAGCAUGCAUGUUGAAUUCGGUGGCUGACAACUCGUUAUCCAAUUGCAAUUGCAUGAUCAUGAUAUGAUGAUUUGUAUUUUCUCUUUUCUCUUUUCAGUCGUAGACUCGUAGUGUGUUUUCCACAGACAAACGCGUAUUCUGUUAACCAUUGCACAAAUAAUAUAUAUAUUUUUGUACUAAGUGGGUGUGCGCCUGCACUCGCUACGAUGUAGACAUGUUUCUUCAUUAAGCUAGCUAGCUAAUGAGGUUGCAAAAUCUGAUUUUAUAACUAAAAACGAAAAAAAAAUUCAAAUUAAAUUUGUACUUGAAGUCUUGAACUAAAUCAAGUGAAAUAUGCUUGCAAUAAGUUAUAUUAUCGGCAGUAAUAUGAUAUAUUUAGGGUUGGCAUGCUAGAACAACUCCUCUAAAAGACUAAAACUAGGUGUUGUUGCCUGUUGAAGUUCCAUCCACCAAUGUAUUAACCUAUUUCUAGAUUAAUGCACUACUAGAUCAGGUCGUUGGGAGACUUGACCAAAGGGGAUGUUUUGGAUUGGGGUGGCUGCACCUCGUUGAGAUCGAGAUUACCUACGUACUCUUAGCUCAAGGGGAUUGAACUUAGAGAUCAAGCCAUCGUAGUUCUGUUAUUAUAGAAGGUAGAAAGGCGUGGAUCGUUGAUCUUGCAGAUUCUCCGUCAUCAUAAUGAGGAUUAAUUGUGUAACGCGCGAGGAUCAUCCCUGUGAAUUAAUUAUGUAACUGACGAGGAUAUUCUGUGCAUUGAAUGAGAGCGCGUGUGUAUUAGCAGGUUGCUGCUCGUUAUGAGAUCGAGUUGUUGUGGUCGAGCUACUAGCAGGUAGAGAUCGUGGCGACCUGAUGGAUGAAUGACUGUGCCACGUGGCUGCUUUUGAUUGGUUGGAGUAUGUAGUACCCCUACAUAAGCCCCCUCUUCUUAGGUCGGCUGUAGAAGUCGGGCUGAAAAGACUAAGAACUCUGAUCGAUGCUGAUUUGUAGUUUGCUUUUUGAAUUUGCGGACGUGGCAGUCAUGCAGGCUUGUCUGUACUAAUCAUGGCGCUCUUACGGGGAAGUGGAGGAUUUUCCUCGAGCAGCUAGCUGUGCAGUUAUGGCAACUGACGCACUUUUUGCUUGAUAUAGUCUUUUCGUGGCACGUGGGUUGAUCCGACGGUGGAUGUGAAUCUUUUAUUAAGUGGAAAAUAACUGCAAUGGAUGUGGAUUCUCUGCUCGAUCUCAGCCGUUUACCUGUUUCGAACUGAUGGCUGGGAUUGUACGUGCUACAGUAUUUAAACUGUAGUUUUGUUGAGAAGGGUUUAUCUAUCUCGCCUUCAUUUGAAUUGCUGCCGCUUUUCUCUUGCGAUCUGAAGAACUUUGAGAGCUCGUGAGGUUAGUUUUCUUCUCCUUUUUUUUUUCAUCUUCUGUUUUCUUUUCUGUUGCUUGAGAGAAAUGUCUGACGCGAGUGACUCUCAAAAUGAUAAUUUGAGUGGUGGUGGCGGUGAGGAGUAUGAGUCUGAAGGGACUCAUUCUGAAGCCUUGCCUCCCAUUCAUGGUGUGGACCCUGAUAGCCCCCAGAGUAGCGGCUCUCAUGGGGCGGACUCGUCUGACGAAGAAAUGGUAGAAGGAGACGAUGGUUCGAUGUGUAGAGUAGUGAACCUUAAGUAUGUAAAUAGGCACAUUGCGUUUAGGAAGCAGUAUGGGCUUAGCUCGAUUGAGCAUUUGGAGAUUAGAUUUUUAGGAGAUCGUUUACUUUCUGCUGAGUAUCGACCUAAAAAUCCUUUCUCGACUGUUUUUACUUUGACCCAAUUCCGAGCUGGGCUGAGGCUGCCAUUGUCUUGUUUGGUGGUCGACCUGUUGAAUGUUAUUGGUCGAGCCCCCUGCCAGAUGAAUGGCAAUUUCUGGAGAAAUAUGAGGGUAAUUGAUGACCUGAAUAAGCUACAUAAGUGGAACAUUACUGUAAGUGAUGUAUUGGACCACUUCAGCUUCAAACGUUCUUCAAAGGCUGAUUUUUCCGGCUAUAACAUGCAAGUUAGGCCAGAACGUUUGCCUUUGAUCUAUCCUGUAAGUAGUGAGCCAUGGUGGAAAGAUCCCAUGCUGAUUACUGGGUCGAUCAUUGAGGGGAGUAUCCAGUUGCGUCAUGUGACUAGGAAUGAUGCUCGUAAGUUUCUGGUCGUUAGUCUUAGGACAGUAGAUGAUUUUCCUUUUUCUGGACUUGACAAUGUUGUAUCUUUUUGUAGCGAUCAGGGACGAUCAUCUUGUGAGGAAGAACGAUCUGCAGUCCGCUUUGAACGGCUUUGGUUUCUUGUCUGACAAUCGUAAGAUACAGUUCUUACCCCACCUGAAGGAGCAUUUUAUUCCCAAAGGUGGUCCGAAAACCGUUGAAGAAGAGCUCGAGAGGAGGAAGUCGUUGAAGAAGGCCUAUAUGACUUCUGUGCAUAAAGCUGAGGCUGGGCGUUCUGGUGGUAGUUCGCGUGUUGGGGAGAAGGAACGAGCUAGUGGUAGCUCGAGGCCUGAUGAGAGAGAGCGAUCUGGAAGCACUGCUCGGAGGUUGGAGAAGGAACGAUCUGGUGUUAGCUCGCGCCGGGGGGAGGUAGUGGCGAGCCCCCUAGUCGUAUCCCCUCCGCCCUCACUUCCCAAAUUACCUGCCUUGUCCGGGAAGAAGAGGUCAUUUUCGGGGAACCUGAGGUUGAUGGAGCCUCCAACUAUGCCAUCCCCUGGUCCUCCAAAGUCCGUGAAAGCUCCUGAGCCUCCUCUUAAGUCCAGGAAGACUGCUGCUGGGCCUUUGCAAAAAGGCAAGGGGGUAUCAUCUGAGUUUCGCCCUGGGCCGUUCGACUAUUUGGAUGGCCGCGGUGAGAAGCAUGUCGUGUAUGAUAACGACAGUGCUAUUGACGACCCUUGUGUUGCCCGGGCUGUGAAUGAGGGCAUCGUCUUGGAUGCUGAUGCUCGCGCAGUGAAGUCGCAGACUUUGUUGGUGACAUGCUCAAAGAUAAACGCGUCGCUGUCUUUGGUGAGUGUUAUCAUAAGUCUUUUUUGGUUGUGCUUAGCCAUUGCUGACUAAACUCUGUUUGCACUUGCAGCUCAACGCAAGCUUCCAGGAGGUGCGUCUGGUUGCUGAGGUUGGUGCUCGAGCUAAGAUUGAGUUGAAGGACCUCAACGAGAAGCUCGAGCAGGCGAAGAAUGCUGCUAUUGUUGCUGAGUGUAAGGUGAAGGACAGGGAUGCGCAGGUCGCGGCGUUGAAGGAGAUGGUUGAGCAGUUAAAGGAAGAUUCUGCUGCUGCUAAGGCUUCUGCUGAAUACUGGGAGCACGCAUGCCAAGAGAAUGGCGCAGCGUGGAAGGCCUACUGCGACAACUUGAUGAAAGCUUUGGAGGGGUCGCCCGAAGGAGAGGAGACGCGAGGUGGUGCCGAUGGAGCUUUGGUGCCAGCUCAGGACGCCUUGACGGGCCCUAAUGACCAGGUCGCAAGUGGCCGUUUGGAGAUUGAUGGUUCCAGCGACCAGUCUAUGCAGCAAUGAACUAGUCUCGGUACCGACUUUCUUGUAUUGGGUAACCUUGUGCAAAGUUUGCUUCUUGCACUCCUUAUUCUUGCAGUAAGUCUUCUUUGGCCUUCCUCAAAGCAGUGUUGUUAGUUUGUGAGCUCGAGGAAACAAUUAUUUGUUUUGUUUGGAGUUGUAAUAAACAACAGUAAUUUUAUUUGACGAGCUUGUAUUUUAGCCGUUCUGAUCAGCUAGUUUCCAGGGAGUCCUGGUAGCUCGUUCAGAAGGCAGGUAAACGAGAUAAAUGGCUGCAAGCAGAACGAACUGAAACAGUUUUUCUUGUAUGCCUUAGUUUAACUUUGUUUUUACCUGUAAUGGUUAGAAUCUCAUCAAGUAAAGAGAAAUUUCAAUGAUUUACCUUACAUUGUCAUUCUUGUUACGUUGUCUGCUAGUAUGAGUUUUGCAAACAAGUAGUAAUCAUAGUGCUGGACCUGCUGGUAGAUGAGGUCGCAUGCAUGGUUGCUUGAUUGUACAUGGGUCAUGGGAAUGAUAUGACCAAUGCACCAAGUUAAGUUGCAGAUGUUUGAACUUAACAAAAUUAAAAUUAUCAAAGGGACUAGAGUUUUGAUAAUUUAUAGGUCGAGGGAUUAGACCUUUAAGAGCCAUUCAUGUUUGAGCCGAGAUGAAGGCAAAGAUGAGUUUGUAUAUUGAAAUGUAAUGAAUAGAUGCUUACAUUUCAUUGAUAAAACUUUUUCAAGUGAUAAACAUUCCAUGGGUUCUUAACAAUCUCCCCUUCUGGUGUUUGAAGACGAUAAGACCCGUUGCUUUGGACCUUGGUAAUAAUGUAAGGGCCUUCCCAAUUGGCAUUGAGUUUGCCAAUAAUAUCCUUCCUUUUGUUGUGGAACAUCUUCCUUAGAACUAGUUCUCCUGGUUGAAAAGAUCUGGGUUGUACGCCUUUGUUAUAAGCUCGCUUAAGUCGUUGUUGAUAUUGCUCAAGUUUUAUAACGGCGUGGUUUCGUUGUUCUUCGAGGAGAUCAAUUCCGAACGACCAGACCUGAUUGUUAAGCUCUGUGUCGACCAGAAGGGAUUUGGUCGUUCCAAAUGUUAACUCGGUGGGAAUAACGACCUCAACUCCAUAGCAAAGACUGAAUGGUGACAUCCCUGUUGAUGUGCGAGGGGUUGUUCUGUAAGCCCAUAGGAUGUUUUCCAACUGUUGUGGCCAUUGAUCGUGUUGAUCUUCGAGCUUUUUCUUUAAGUUGUUCAGAAUCUGUCGAUUUGCAGCUUCGACUUGGCCGUUGGCUUGUGGAUAUCUAGGUGUUGACCUGGAAUGUUCGAUUUUCCAUAGCUCGUAGAAAGCUUUGAUGUUUUUGCCAACGAACUGAGUGCCAUUAUCCGUGACUAUUCGUUUUGGUAGACCAAAUCGUGUGAUUAUGUUUUCCCACAUGAAUCUUUGAACAUCGGCCUGAGUGAUGUUGGCGAGUGCAACGGCUUCUACCCAUUUUGUGAAGUAGUCAAUGGCGACUAGAACAAACUUCUUCUCAGAUUUCUUUUCUUUGAUAAAAGGGCCCAUGAUAUCUAGCCCCCACAUGUGAAAUGGCCAUGGCGCAGUGAUGUUGAUUAGAUCGUUUGGAUGUUGAUGUUGGUUAUCAGCAAAACGCUGGCAUUCUUUACACUUCAACACAAAUUUCUUGGCAUCUUCUUUCAUUCUUGGCCAGAAAUAUCCCUGGGAGAUCGCUUUAUGAGCUAAUGUUCGACCUCCGGAGUGGUUUCCGCAUUCUCCUUCAUGGAUUUCUUGGAAGAUGAUCUGGCCAUGCUUGGGAAUCAAGCACCGUAACAACAGACCGGUUGCAGAUUUUCUGAAUAGCUUACCCUCAUGAAGUUUAUACAUAGUGACUUUAUGUAAUAGUUGACUGGCUUCCUUUUUAUUGGAUGGUAACACACCAGUUUGAAGGUAAGUGAUGAAAGGUUCCAUCCAAGUUCCUUGGAUGUCUACUGGUGUUGUGGCUAGUAGAUCAGAGAUUUGAUGAACAUUUUCCUCUUUCAAUAGAUAUGCGGGCUGUGUAUUGAUUGCUAUAGUGAGAGCCCGCGGUCGAUCUGACUCGAUCUUAGAUGCUAAGAAUGCCAAUGAAUCAGCAUGUCUGUUAUCAUCUCUAGGGAUGUGAUCGAUUGUGAAAUAACUGAGCUUGCUGAUGAGUUCCCUUGCUUUGCUGGCAUAUCGGAUUAAGUUGACACCAUUGAUCUGGUAGUUAUUGGUAAUCUGAUUGACUACCAAUUGAGAAUCAUUGUACACCUUGAGGCGGACUGCCUGUAGGUUGAUAGCCAUUUGUAGGCCUUGGAUUAGAGCUUCGUAUUCGGCCUCGUUGUUGGAGGUCGAGAAGUCGAGACGAGUUGCUCUCUCGAGCUGUGAACCUUCAGGAGAAAUGAGCACAGUACCUAUGCCACUUCCGUUGGAGUUGUGGGAACCAUCAACAUAUAGUUGCCAAGUGUCGGGAGGACUGUCCUGGACUUUCUUUGUUUCUGGUUCUGGUUCCCAAUUGAUAUCCUCUGCUGGAUAGUCUGCUAAGAAAUCUGCGACGACCUGGCCCUUGACGGCCUGUCGAGAGACGAACUCAAAUGUAUAAUCACCUAGUUCGGCUGCCCAUCGAGCCAUACGACCUGUUUUGUUCUUCUUUUCUAAUAUAUGACGUAACGGUUGGUCGGUGAUUACUUUGACGGUGUGGGCUUGGAAAUAAGGUCUGAAUUUGCAUGCAGCAUAAAGGAGAGCUAAUGCUAAUUUCUCUAGAGGUGUGUACCUUAUUUUGGCCUGUUGUAAGACUUUGCUUGUGAAGUAAAUUGGUCUUUCGACCUGAUUUUCCUCUUUGAACAGCACUGCACUGAUCGCAAAAUCUGAAGUUGCGAGGUAGAUACCGAGUAUAUCUCCGUCAUUAGGCUUAGUGAGAACUGGCGGAGUGGAUAAAUAUGCCUUGAGGUCGGUGAAGGCUUUCUCGGAUUCUUCUGUCCAUUCAUAUGUAGCCCCCUUCUUAAGAAUAUGAAGCAUUGGUCGACAUUUAUCUGAUGCUCUAGAAAUGAAUCUAUUGAGAGCUGAUACCAUGCCGUUGAGUUUUUGGAUCUGCUUCUUUAUCUUCGGGUUGGGCAUGUCAAUCAGUGCUCUGAUCUGGUCUGGAUUUGCUUCGAUGCCUCGUUUCGUGACUAGGUAGCCGAGAAACUUUCCUGAUGCGACCCCGAACAGACACUUCUCUGGAUUAAGACGCAUCAUGUAUUGUCUUAAUCUUUGGAACGCCUGGUCGAGAUUGUACAAAUGAUCCUGCUCUUGACUAGCAUAUCGUCAAUGUAAACUUCCAUUGUUCGACCUAGCAGGUCGUCGAACAUUCUGGUGACCAGUCUCUGAUAGGUCGCUCCUGCAUUUCUUAAGCCGAAAGGCAUAACCUUGUAGCAGAAAAUGCCUUGCUCUGUUGUAAAAGAGGUCUUCUCCUGGUCGGGCUCGUACAUUGGGAUCUGGUUGUACCCUGAGUACGCGUCCAUGAAUGACAAUAGCUCAAAACCGCAUGUUUGAUCGACUAACCUAUCGAUUCGUGGCAGUGGGAAUGAAUCUUUAGGACAAGCUUUGUUCAAGCUUGUGAAGUCGAUGCAGACUCUUGUUUUCCCAUUUUUCUUUAAGAUUGGCACGAUGUUGGCUAGCCAGUCUGGAGUAUCGACUUCUCUGAUGAAUCCGACCUGUUUGAGUCUAUUGAUUUCUUCAUUGACUGCUUCGUGAAACUUGAGAGCGAGCCUUCUUGUUUUUUGCUUGACAGGUCGAUAAUUCGGAUUGACGCGCAGUUUAUGACAUGCAAUUGAUGGAUCUAUUCCAGGCAUAUCGAUAUACGACCAAGCAAAAACAUCUUUAUUAGUUGAAAGAAAAUUUACAAAGUUCUGGAACUUAUCUCCUUCUAACUCUGCACCUACAUAGACAUAUCUCAGGUCAUCUUCUGACCCAAGGUUCACACGUACUCCUGGAUCAGUGCUUCCGAGAUUAAGCUGGGGGGAGCUCGUUUGCUCCUUCUGUAGUUGUUAUUUGGUAGCUUCGGUCUUCUCUUUUGAAGGGCUUUUGGACUUGUUGUCGCCCUCUCGAGCCUCUGAUGAGAUUGGGCUCUUCCCUUUGACGUCAGCAUCCUUGGUUCCAGAGGUGGAUGGCUUCGCAGGUGCCACAGCUUCAAUAAUUCCAUGGCAUUCCUGAGCAGCGUUCUGGUUGCCUCGAAGUUCCAUUAUCCCAUGAGGUCCAGGAUAGCGGAAAACUUGAUGAUAUGUUGAUGGAACACCUCUCAUGGCAUGGAUCCACUUCCGACCCAGAAUCGCAUUGUACUUGCUUGCGAUGUUAAGGAUGCUGAACUUGGCGAUCACAACGACCUUGUCUUCCUUUCGGCCCACAGUGACGGGCAGCAGAAUUUCACCCUUAGGAUCCUCCCUUGAACUGUUGAAGCCUAAGAUGGGGGUGAAAUCGGGGAUGAGAACUGAGUCGGGCAACCUCAUGUCCUUGAAUGUUCUGUACAUGAGAAUGUUGCAUGAUGCGCCAGGAUCGAUGAGUACCCUCUUGAUGAUGUAGUCGGCUAUUCUCAGCUCGACAACAAGGGCAUCGUUGUGAGGUGUGACGACCUUGUUGAGAUCGUCUUCAGUAAAAGUAAUAUCUGUUUCCUGGCGCGCUGGGAUGUUGAAGCGAGCUGCUCGGCCAGUAAUGGAGUAGACAUGAUGAAGAUGUUCUACCCUUCUCUUCUUAUCUCUUGACAGGGGGGUGGAGUCGGAUUCAUAAAUCAUGUAAACUACAUGACUCUCGGACUCGCUGUCACUGUCAAUCUUGUUAGCGACCUUCUUGUUGAUUUGGUCGCGUAGGUCGCCUGUUGGACCUAAGCGCUGGGAGAGGCUACGCCCUCUGCUGCGGACUGGACUUGCGGAGACCGUUCUGGCCUUGCUGUGAUUCCUCUUUGGUGAAUGGGGAGGGGUUCUGGAUCCCUUCCUCGGCCGCUUGCUUGUGGAAUCCUCUUGUCUGCCGAGGAUCCAAUUGUUGAGCCUUUUCUCAUCGGCCCAUGUUUGAAGAGCGCGUUUCAGAACGCGACAGUCAUCUGUUUGAUGACACCAUACCUUGUGGACUUUGUAGUACGGUCGACCAGAUGUAUCCUCCAACUGUGGGAAGGUAGGAAUCUUGCACCAAUGGUUGUGCUUGAUUCGCUCAUAGAUGUAACCGGCUGGUCGUGUGAACCGGUGAUACUCUCGUUGCUCAAUAGGCAACGACUUUGCUUUAAACCUCUUGCUAUCAGAUCGAGGUCGCUUGGUGAAGCCAGACUCUACAUUGCUGACUACAUGAUUCUUUUCCCCUCCAGUGAGGGCUUCCUCGAGCUUGAUGUAACGGUCUACCUUUAAGUAGAGCUCGUCUAGGGAUGAAGGUCGCUUCAUGGCUAGAGAUUUGUGGAGGUCGGACCCCUGGAUCAGACCGUGAGAGAAUGCGAUGGUUGCGAAGGUCUCAUGCUCCUUUGCAAAAUCCUGAAUUGAAUGCAGUUCAGAUUUAAAACGAGCAAAGAAAGUGCUUAGUGACUCACCAUCCCGCUGCUUGAUUUUGAAGAUUUGAUCGAUGGUGACGGGGCGCUUCUUGUUGUGGAUAUAGAAGAUGACAAACUGCUUUUCGAGCUCGGCAAACGAGCUGAUGGAUCCUGAUUUCAAACGGUGAAACCAGUCUAGAGCAGGUCCAGUGAGGCUGGACUGGAACAGUAAACAUAGAAGAUGAUCUUCUUUGAUGAGAGGAAGGGAUUUCCGGAAUCCCUUGAUGUGGUCGGUUGGAUCUCCGACUCCUGUAUAUUGGUCAAACUUGGGGGCAUUGAGCUUGUUCGGCAAAUCAUGUUCAAGGAUCUCCUUGGAGAAAGGAGACUCCUGGAACUGCUGGAGGGACUGUACAGCAAGUUGCUCCGCGGUGUGGCUUCUGGGAUGGUGCAAAAUAGCCUGAGAGGCUUUGAACUCUGCUAACUGUUGGCUGAGUUGCUCGUACUUCUGAUUGGAGUCAUCAACAGGAAUGACUCCAUGUCCACCAUUCGCUACUUGUGCUGGGUUGGUAUCUUGUGCAGCCUUCAAGCGUUCGUUUUCUUCCUGCAGACGAGUGAUUUGUUCAUGCAGAUCCUGGAUGGUAAGUUCUUGAUUAGCCAUUUGAAUGAGUGAUUAUGAUUUGGGUGGGAGGGUUUGGGUUUUUCGAUUAUAUCGAAUUCCUUGCAGUCGGCGCCAAAUGUAUUAACCUAUUUCUAGAUUAAUGCACUACUAGAUCAGGUCGUUGGGAGACUUGACCAAAUGGGAUGUUUUGGAUUGGGGUGGCUGCACCUCGUUGAGAUCGAGAUUGCCUACGUACUCUUAGCUCGAGGGGAUUGAACUUAGAGAUCAAGCCAUCGUAGUUCUGUUCUUAUAGAAGGUAGAAAGGCGUGGAUCGUGGAUCUUGCAGAUUCUCCGUCAUCAUAAUGAGGAUUAAUUGUGUAACGCGCGAGGAUCAUCCCUGUGAAUUAAUUAUGUAACUGACGAGGAUAUUCUGUGCAUUGAAUGAGAGCGCGUGUGUAUUAGCAGGUCGCUGCUCGUUAUGAGAUCGAGUUGUUGUGGUCGAGCUACUAGCAGGUGAGAAACUACAAAUAGUGCUAGUGUAACAAUUGUAAAUUCAAACAAGCAAUCAAACAAUACGCAGAAAGUAAAUAACACACAGAGAUUUUUAACGUGGUAAAACCCAAACAGGGAAACGUCCACGGUUGUCCUCGCGACAACAAAAUAAUCCACUAGAUGAAAAGAGAUGUACAAACCUAUCAACUACCUGCACUCACUGCGAGUUGAUACUCCUGGUUAUCUCUAACACCUUGACUUCACCAGAGCACCUUGAUGUACGCACAAGACACUCGACUUCUUGAUGAACACACAAGAAGACUCGAAGCCGAAUUCACAAUAACUCUUGAAGAUCACAAAGAUAUGAAUUGAGAGAAGUGGGAAGAAAGGGAAUUGAGUUCAAUAGCCACAAACACUUUCAAUACCAAAACCUAAACCAAAACACAUGAACUAGAAGAAGAAUGGACGGCCAAAGAACUGACUUGUUCUUUGGAAGAGAAACCCUAUUUAUACUUAGGGUUGGAAACCAAGGAAAAUGGGCCGAAAUACUGAAAAUCCAUAUUGGACGUACGUACGUCGAAUCAACGUUCGUACGUCCCCACACGGUAAAAAUUUGUUGCCUGCUUGGACGUACGAACGUCCUAACUGCGUACGUACGUCCUGAACAAAAGAUGUUUGCUGCCUCAGUGGACGUACGUACGUCCUAACUCGGUACGUACGUCCAGUACCCAAUAACUUUUCCUAGACAGAACCAAGAGACACGAAGGACACGAGACGACCAUGCGUACAUCUUGAUUUUCCUAACAAUGAAUUCAAGGCGAGAUAACCAAGGACACUUUGUCACAAAAUUGAUGUCAAACUACUUCGUGCCGGUUUCAAUCUCCCCCUUUGACAUUGAUUUUGUGACAAAAACCUAUGACUUUAAUAGCACUUAUAGGACGUGCUUACAAACCCAAACCAUGGCAUUUAUAAAACAUGCCUACAAAAUCACUCAAGAUAGAAACACAUAACAAGUCACUAAUUCUUGUUAUCCAGCUUUAGCAAGAUGCUUUAACCAUCAGAGACCGAACGGAAGCAACUAGGAAUUUCCGAAGCAAUCAAGAAUUCAACAGAAGUUCCUUCGAGCAACUCCCCCAUACUUCAUGAGCUCCAAAAUAUUUUUGACACUCGAACUCCCCCAUAACUAUAUAACGUCUAAAAUCAUCAACACGUUCACUCCCCCAUACGUGUAGCAUACCUGAAACAUGACCCAAAAAUAACCUAACAACAAGAAGACGAUUGUUAGUAAUUAGAGUCAUAAAUCUCCCCCUUUUUGUCACAACAAGUGAACAAAAUAACCAACCAACAAAAGAAACGAUAAAAUAACAACAAUAAACAAGGAACCAAGAAAAAGAAAUCAAUACCAAACAAAGAAGACAAAACAGAUAAAAAGAUAAACCUAACCCAACUGUUAAAAGUUCAUGAAAGCAACUAAUACCCAAACAUAGGAAUCCAGAAACAUAAAAGACAAAAUCGACAAAAACACAAGGCUUAAGGUAACGAAUUCGAAAAACCCUUCCGCACGAGCCGAAGGUCUAUUCCACCGAGCUAUCACAAGAACAUAAAGCUUAAGAUAGGACAUAAAGCUUUCGCACGAGCCGAAUAGCUAUUCCACCGAGCUGCCACAGGAUUAUCAGCACUCGUACAAAAUAACUCCCCAAUUCUGCUGUCCAAGCCACAGUCGGUAAGAGGAGCAGCAAGGCCUGGAACCUUCGGGUAUCCAACCAACUCCAAGAUGUGAUUUUGAAGAUGUCCCGGUAGUCUCUCCCAAUGAUUGACAUGAACCAUGCAUGAAUUAAGUAAAGGUCGAUGAACAUAGUCAUACCCAUGAGGAACGCGACAUAAACGACAAACCUUAGCAUUGUUUUUGUACUCCAUCACCAUAAACGACACAUAACCAACAGCCGGAACAAAAACUCCAUGAAGUUCAUAUUCUGCCAUAGAAAAUUCUGAAGAACAAAGAGAGAACUAGCAGGAGAUAAGAAGUCACAAUAGGAGUAAAAGAAGAGAAGACUCCCUAUAUAUAAGAAAAAUAAGAGUAAACCUAACAUGGGCUCAAAAGAGAGGUCCAUAACCUAAUGAGCAGAACUUUACUGCUAAUCAGAAAAGAACUAGAAGUCCGUUUAAAAAACAACUGUCAGAACACACAAUUAUAUGUUCAAAGAACAUUCUGACGGUGGUAAUGAACUGCCCUCCAUAGCGUACGAACGUUAUGACAGCGUUCAUACUACUUAUAUUGUUUUUUUUUUUUUUUGUUUUUUUUUUUUUUUUAAAAAUGAAGGACCAACCAGAGACCCAGAAAAACAACUCGAAGAACAAUCCAAAACCAAAUAUUGAGAAACAUCACAGAGAAACCUAUCUGCUGAUUGAAAGGAUUCCAAUUAAAGAAGAUUACAAUUUAGACAAACCUCAACCACAAGGAAAUGCAAAGUCGAAAAACGACAUCAUACACCAAGCCAUGGUAGUCACAAGAAGAAUGCAAACAUGCAGAAGAACCUGAUAGACCAAUACCAACCUCCGGAAACAAACUAAAAACAUGAUCAUGGAGUAUAUUGAUUUUCUUCUUGUCUUUCAACUAGACAAAUACAAAAGCCACUUGUCGUCAUUUUUUUUUUUUUUUUUUUUUAUAAAAACCACUUGAACAAACGCCAUUCCCGUGUGGGAGUAUGUAAUAUCUCCAUCUUUUACCAGAACACGAGGGUAGGGUGUAGCCUACAUCUUUUUGGCAAAACACACUCAAGAAGUGCAAUACCAUGAUAACGUGCAACACAAGAACUAACAUCUCCUGAGUACAUCCGUCAGAGCAUGACCCUCACAGCCCCAACGGGUUCUUAGCCAAAUGAGUAUGCUCUCAAGACAUUCAAAUGGCUGGGGAUUUUGUGAGUCAUUGACCACUUACAAGAGGUAAAAAAAAUAGAAACGAAGACAAUGAUCAUGAAAGGAAACCAUAGAAGACUACAGAUAUACAGGUAUGCGGACCGACAAUCCAACUACAUGUAAAUGCAUCAUGUAAGAAACUACCAAGACAAAGAGAGCAUGAUGUAACCUUAUAACUAUGCAAGACACAAAAACAGUUGAGAACGCCAAACUAGAAACAUCAAUAACAUGGAAUCCAUACAAUAGUGAAGGUAGUAUGUCCUCAAUACCAACAACAAUACUAAUAAACAACAAAAACAACCGAACCUAAACAUCCUAACCACAAUGACAAUAACAGAGAGAAAAAGAAAGUAACAAAACAAUUAGGGAAGAGUUACAACCCCAAUAGACGUACGCAAGGAAUGGAAUCGAGCUGCAUCAAGAGGCUUUGUAAGAAUAUCUGCUAGCUGAUGUUCAGUAGGAAUGAACUCCAUUACUAUAUCACCCUUUUCGACCGCCUCACGAAGAAAAUGGUGACGAAUGUCAAUAUGCUUUGUGCGUGAGUGUUGAACAGGAUUCUUGGAAAUGCUAAUGGUACUGGUGUUAUCACAGAACAGGUCCAUCGCCUGCUGUUGAAUGCCAUAAUCCCUAAGCAUCUGACGCAUCCACAGAAGUUGUGUACAUGCACUAGCUGCAGCUAUAUACUCGGCCUCACAUGAAGAGAUGGAUACAGAUGAUUGUUUCUUGCUAUGCCAGGAAACAAGAUUAUUCCCAACAUAGAAACAGCCACCACUGGUACUAUGACGAUCAUCAAGAUUACCACCCCAAUCAGCAUCACAAUAACCUGCCACAACACUAUUUGUAUCUCUGGUGAACCAUAACCCGUAGUCAAGAGUGCUAGCAACAUACCGAAUAAUACGCUUAACAACAGUGAGAUGAGAUUCUUUAGGGUUAGCCUGAAAUCUUGCACAUACCCCAACACUAUAAGAAAUAUCUGGACGACUAGCAGUAAGAUACAAAAGACUACCAAUCAUACUCCGAUAUUCACGAAUAUCAACAGACUUACCCA
rnacentral:lncRNA from 1 species